CACAAACACCAAGAUGGUUUCUGGCCGUUCUCUGCUGGCUGUGAUCUUCAUUUCUAUUCAGGGAUCCUGUGGAGAGAUUGGGCUGACUCAGACUCCAGAUUAUAUGUCGGUGUCACCAGGAGAUACAGUCACCAUGUCAUGUAUAUCUAGUGAAUAUACAGGGAAUGCUAUAGCCUGGUACCAGCAGAAACCAGGACAAAAGCCAAAUCUUCUUAUCUAUGGUGCAGCCAGCAGAUAUACAGGAGUCCCAGACCGGUUCACUGGUGUUAGUGAUGGAUCUUCUUACACCAACUACAAGUUAACAAUCAGAGGAGUGACAGGAGAUGAUAUAGCAGAUUAUUACUGUCAGCAGUAUAGGAGUUUACCUCUCACACAGUGA